rnacentral:tRNA from 1 species
UGAUAAAAAAAGGACUUUAACCUUUAUUAUAAGGGCUACAACCCUACGCCUACUUCGGCCAUUUUACC